GGGGUAUUAGCUCAUCCGGUAGAGCGCAACACUGGCAGUGUUGAGGUGAGCGGUUCGAGUCCGCUAUGCUCCA
rnacentral:tRNA from 1 species